AAGUGAAGAGCUCUCUGAAGAAGGCUAAACAGGAAGACGUGAAGGCUCUAAUGACUGAGCUGAAUAAGAUCAUCGCGGAUAAGAAGGACAACGAGAAGUUUAUCACACUUCAGGAGUGGC
rnacentral:ribozyme from 1 species